CCUACGGGAGGCAGCAGUGAGGAAUAUUGGUCAAUGGCCGGAAGGCUGAACCAGCCAAGUCGCGUGAGGGAAGACGGCCCUACGGGUUGUAAACCUCUUUUGUCGGGGGGCAAAACGAGGCUCGUGUGACUCAUUGAGGGUACCCGAAGAAAAAGCAUCGGCUAACUCCGUGCCAGCAGCCGCGGUAAUACGGAGGAUGCGAGCGUUAUCCGGAUUUAUUGGGUUUAAAGGGUGCGCAGGCGGAGGGUCAAGUCAGCGGUAAAAUUGCGGGGCUCAACCCCGUACUGCCGUUGAAACUGCAUGCCUUGAGUGCGCGAGAAGUAUGCGGAAUGCGUGGUGUAGCGGUGAAAUGCAUAGAUAUCACGCAGAACUCCGAUUGCGAAGGCAGCAUACCGGCGCGCAACUGACGCUCAUGCACGAAAGCGUGGGUAUCGAACAGGAUUAGAUACCCCUGUAGUC
rnacentral:rRNA from 1 species